rnacentral:lncRNA from 1 species
GGGCGGUAUAAUCUCUUUUAUCUUUUUGUCUCUCCUAUGUGAUCCAAUGUGCUAAGUGAAUUGCAUGUCUACUUUGCUUUCCUAGCUUUUCUUUAAUUCUUUUUACUCAUGUCAUUUACUUUUUGUUUUCAUUAAGUUAUUCUUUUAAUGGGGUAUGUGUACACCUCUUGGCUUGUAAUAGAUAGGGCUUUGGCGAGCAAUUUGGUCCAUUUUCCCUUUCCCCC